CAAGUACCGCCUUGUUUCUCUAUUGCUGUCAGACGUUGGAAUUGCACACAGACAUUUGGUGGGGUCGCGAACAAAGGACACACUGACUUUGUUGCCGUCUGAGCUUGCGUUUUAAAGGAAUACAUUGGCGAUCGUCUUAAGUUUGCGCCUAUUUGCAUGCUCAAAAGUCAGCGUUUGAGCUUGUUUGAAAUUUUGGUCAUGGCUGACUGUGAAAAGGGUCAAGUGAAAAUGGCUACAUCCCUACCUGAAGGUUUUCAUUAUGAGACCAGAUAUGUUGUCCUUAGUUAUUUGGGGCUGGCUUCACAAGAAAAUAUUCCAUUAUUGACAGGCACGCAAUCAACAGAAAGGGUUGCUUUGGAGCCUUCUGCAAUUGAGAAUAUGAAGAUGGAAAUAGAAGAGCAACUUAAGCAACUGCAUGAUGAAAUUAAUAAAGCCUUUGCCAGUACAGGAUUUGAGUGCCACACUUCUCCAGUAUUUAGUCCUGCAAAUCCAGAAAGCUCAAUAGAAGACUGCAUGGCUCACCUUGGGGAGAGAGUGUUUCGGGAGCUUCCUGUGCAGGUGGAGGGAGCACUGCAAAAUAUUCUUGCCAAACCUCUGGAAUACGAGUUGUACAGAGAGCAGUUAAAUCAACUAACCAGCCACGCCAGAGGGUGGAGUAAGGUUCUGGUUUCUCUAGUGGUAUUAAGGCAGUUACUAACGAGCAACAUCAAGCCAUCGCUAAAGACAAUGGUGGAGUUUGGAGUAAAGUACAUUGAGGAGACAAAUGCUGAUUAUAUCAUCCAGCAAGGUGGUUGGACUUGUUGAAUAAUUACUAUUGUUAGUCUUUGGAGUGGAGGAAGAGGAUAAAAUACUAGGUUUGCAAGGAAAUCAGUAAUGAUUCCAGGAUUAAUUCACUAAAGUUUAGGGCACUAUUUUCAGUCUUGAUUCUGAAGAUGAAGAACGGGGAGAAACGGUGGAUGAUAGCAAUGAUAUUUAUAUCUUAACUAGUGACAAUUCUGGUCAAGUAAGCCCUCCUGAACCACUCGCUGUUACCAGUUCCUGGCAGGUGGCUAGCAUGCCAGCAUCGUUGUCCACUAGUCAAAGCUGGCAUACUGAAGGCAUGCCAGUUUCUCUUGGAGCAGAGUCUUGGCAACAGCUAUCCAUGGAUCCAGAGGAAUUGAAGAGCUUGGAUAGUAAUGGUGGAGGUGAAGAGAGGAGCGAAAACAAUUCUUCCAAUUCUGAUAUUGUUCAUGUAGAAAAGGAAGAAAUUACUGAAGCCGUUGAGAGGCAGGAAUUGGAGCUAAAGACAACUGGGUCCACAACGGAGUCAGAACCUCCAUCUACACAACAGACAAUGCCAGCAGAGGGGCAGCCUUCUGUUGGAGCAGAGAAAACUGAUCCUUUAUCAGCACUGCCCCCAAAGGCAGUCGCUGAAGUCGAGGAAAAAUCUCCAACGGCUUCAGAACAAAAUGUAUCUCAAUCUGGUGAAGUACAACAGUCGACAUCUCUGCAAGAAAUAAGAAAGCAAUUGGAUGAGAAGAAAAGAGGGGUCUGGGAGGAUGCCCCAGAAACCAAACUGGAAGAGGAAGGUUUUGAAAAGGGGCGAAGAAUUGAAAUUACUCCACUAACUGAGCCAGAAGUUUCUACAGAGGUCAUUCCUUCAAAAACAACCACGUCGGUCUUGCUUUAUGGUGGAGCUGCAGCUUUUGCAAUGCUGGCACUUGCAUUGGGUGUAGCUCUAGCCUUGAGGAGAAGGUUUUAACGUGAGCACUUUGUUACUGAGCAUAGUAAUUUGGGAGGCUUUCUAUUCUACAUUUGAUUUGUGACUGUAAUUGAGUAUUUAUUAGUUGUAUUGCAGAAGAUGUGAUCAAUGAGGUAAUCGGAGGUGAGGGGUACAAAUACAGUACAGUGUUAUAUACAGUGAUGAAAUGUUAAUGGCCCAUGGUGUAAAGAAAAUUGUGGGGUAUAAAACGUUCUUGUAUGCAAUAGAAUCUGACAGUAAAAAUGCUAGUCCAUCUCCAAAUAGUAACUAAAUGUGAAGUCGUUGUAUUGGAAAUGUGGAGGAAAUGAAAGUUAAAUCUUCAGGGUACGAAGCAUGUUAACAGAGACCUUUUUAUAAUUCAAAUUAAUUCGUAUUUACUGCCACCCUCAUUCUUAACUGAGUAAAACUACUUUCUAAAUUUUAUAAAACAUUAACUUUGAGUAUUGUUUCCAUCUUUAGAAUCCACUCAGUUUUAUCAUGACCGUUGAUGUGACUUUUACUUCUGCCUGUAUGUUUUGCUUUCCCUUGUUUCACUCGCGUUUACUUUGGUUUAUUUCUUCAUGGGACAUUUCUCAUUAACAAAUACAGGAAGAUGCUCAUUGAUAUAAUGUGUUUUGCAUUAGGUUAAAAGUAAGAUAUAGGGUAGUUAUUAAUGUCUCCACUACUGCUACCACAGAUGCCAAAACAACUCAUUUUGGUAGUGGCGAGUUGAAAAUGUGAUGUCUAAACUUGUUUAAACAAGCAAGUGGGAAUAGCUUGCAUGUUUCCAAGCAAGAUGACAAAAAACAAUGAUUGACUGCAACUAGGAUUUCCAAGUGCUGGCUUUGCAAUUUGUACUGAAACCAUAAACAACAAUAAAACAUGGAUUAAUUUGUGGUGUAAAA